UCCUUACAUAGUGCCAGGCCGUAGCAUGGGGUCCUGGUCUUCCUGCCAUGGACUAAUUGGGUCAUCCAAUAUUCACCCACAUCAACAACAAUCGAUGCAAUGCGGCAUAUUCGUGGAAACUAAUGCAAUCAUCCUAUUGCAUAACCAUGAUGCAUGAAACAUAAUAAAACAUUUAAUUUAAAGAAUUAAGUUUAGUUCCACUCACCUCUGGCAGACUCUGACAACACCGAAGCAGCUGAACUCACUGCUGGGGUCCUCGGUUCCUCGGGUCCGAACCUACACAGGUGGACUCAAAUGAGGGACCAAACAUACCUGAACAUAACUAUAAACUACUCCCC
rnacentral:lncRNA from 1 species